UAGGUCGGCACUAAGGGGAGUGU
rnacentral:piRNA from 1 species